rnacentral:rRNA from 1 species
CCCUUAGAUGUCCGGGGCUGCACGCGCGCUACACUGAAGGAAUCAGCUUGCUAAAACCAUUGUCGAAAGGCAUUGGUAAACCCAUUAAAAUCCUACGUGAUUGGGAUCGGGAAUUGCAAUUAUUUCCCUUGAACGAGGAAUUCCCAGUAAGUGUGGGUCAUAAGCUCGCGUUGAUUACGUCCCUGCCCUUUGUACACACCGCCCGUCGCUGCCCGGGACUGAGCCGUUUCGAGAAAAGCGGGGACUGCUGCUGUCGGGGCUUUCGGGCCUUGGCUUCGGUGGAAACCGCUUUAAUCGCAGUGGCUUGAACCGGGCAAAAGUCGUAACA